ACAACCAAACAAGUCCCGUUACACUCUACUGCCUGGGUAGCA
rnacentral:sRNA from 1 species